UACGAAGGGGGCUAGCGUUGUUCGGAAUUACUGGGCGUAAAGGGCGCGUAGGCGGCUCUGAUCGUCGGAUGUGAAAGGCCUGGGCUCAACCUGGGAAUGGCAUCCGAUACGGCGGGGCUGGAGUGUGGGAGAGGUUGGUGGAAUUCCCAGUGUAGAGGUGAAAUUCGUAGAUAUUGGGAAGAACACCGGUGGCGAAGGCGGCCAACUGGACCACAACUGACGCUGAGGCGCGAAGCGUGG
rnacentral:rRNA from 1 species